CAGUCGGCUGAUGACAAUGCUCCGGCGGAGGAGGCAAACCAAUAAGAAUCUGUUGCUGUUGACGAAACAGUCCAACGAGCCUUCAAUCCGACGCACCCAGAGCCGAACAACAUAUCAGUCUGGUUGGAAAAUGUUGUUUUCAGCUAAGCGAAUGCUGUUUUCGAGUUCCCCAACCGUGGGAACCUCCCUCGGUGGUGUAACAAGUGUAAAUUUCAGCAAUUGGCCAACGACGGAGGACAAUAGAACGAAGGAUGGUAACCGGUGAACUGGCGCACUGUAAGCGGGACGCAGUUUCAGCACAUCUGCCGGGCCGAUGAAUGCAGUCUUUCAGACGUAAAGCUGUACGCUUCGAUGCAACCCCAGUUUACCAACCGUGGAUGGUCGUAAAAACUUACAAUGAG